rnacentral:rRNA from 1 species
GGAAGUGAACCAUCUCAGUACCCGGAGGAAAAGAAAACAAUAGUGAUUCCGUCAGUAGUGGCGAGCGAACGCGGAAUAGCCCAAACCAGGUGACCCGCAAGGGAAGCCUGGGGUUGUAGGACCACAUAACGGGACCGUAGAGGUUAGCUGAAGGGUUUGGAAAAUCCCACCAUAGACGGUGAAAGUCCGGUAAGCGAAAACCAAAGCGGCUCAGUGGGAUCCUGAGUACCGCGGGACACGAGAAAUCCUGUGGGAAUCYGCCGGGACCAUCCGGCAAGGCUAAAUACUAGCUUGCGACCGAUAGUGAACCAGUACCGUGAGGGAAAGGCGAAAAGAACCCCUGCGAGGGGAGUGAAAUAGAACCUGAAACCGUAUGCCUACAAGCAGUGGGAGGGCUAUGGCGGCUUCGGCCGCAAUGCCUGACCGCGUGCCUUUUGCUUAAUGAGCUGGCUAGUUAUUCUCAGUGGCAAGGUUAAGCGCAAGCGAGCCGUAGCGAAAGCGAGUCUGAAUAGGGCGUUGAGUCGCUGGGAAUAGACGCGAAGCGGGAUGAUCUACCCUUGGCCAGGGUGAAAGUUGUGUAACAGCAACUGGAGGCCCGAACCAGUGUCGGUUGAAAACGACUUGGAUGAGUUGAGGGUAGGGGUGAAAGGCUAAUCAAAUUCCGUGAUGGCUCGUUCUCUCCGAAAUAGCUUUAGGGCUAGCCUCGUGUGGUCCGCAACGGUGGUAGAGCUCUGGAUGGACUAGGGGGCUUUAAAGCUUACCGAAUCUAACCAAACUACGAAUGCCGUUGACGUGUAGCACGGGAGUCAGACUGUGGGGGCUAAGCUUCAUAGUCAAAAGGGAAACAGCCCAGACCGCCGGCUAAGGUCCCCAACAACACUAAGUGGGUAAGGAAGUCAAGUGGCCCUGACAGCCAGGAGGUUGGCUUAGAAGCAGCCAUCCUUUAAAGAAAGCGUAAUAGCUCACUGGUCAAGCCACUCGGCGCCGAAAAUGUAACGGGGCUCAAGUGUUGUACCGAAGCCGCGGAUUCGAGUUUACUCGAAUGGUAGGAGAGCAUUCUGAACUGGAUGAAGUCAGACUGAGAAGACUGAUCGACGGUUCGGAAGAGACUCUGCCAGCAUUAGUAGCGAGAAACCAGGUGAGAACCCUGGUCGCCGUAAGUCUAAGGUUUCCUGAGGAAGGUUAAUCCGCUCAGGGUUAGUCGGGUCCUAAGGUGAGGCCGAAAGGCGUAGCCGAUGGAUACGCGGUUAAUAUUCCGCGACUACCUUUACUCGAUCAAGACCGAUGGGGGGACGCAGGAAGCUAAGUGAGAGUGGUGAUGGAUAUCCACUUUGGUCGUCAUUAGGUGUUCCGGGCAGGUAAAUCCACCCGGAAGCUAUCACUGAAGACGGACGCGAUCCCGCAAGGGAACAAAGUCAUGAUGCUACACUGCCAGGAAAAUCCCCUAAGGGGAGUGAAGGUACCCGUACCGCAAACCGACACAGGUAGACGGGAUGAGUAUUCUAAGGCGCUCGGGUGAUGGGUUGUUCAGGAACUCGGCAAAAUAGCUCCGUAACUUCGGGAGAAGGAGUGCCUCUCGCAAGAGGGGUCGCAGCGACGUGGCUCAGGCGACUGUUUAACAAAAACACAGGUCUCUGCAAAGUCGAAAACGACGUAUAGGGGCUGACGCCUGCCCGGUGCCGGAAGGUUAAGAGGAGAGGUCAGCCGCAAGGCGAAGCUUUGAAUCGAAGCCCCGGUGAACGGCGGCCGUAACUAUAACGGUCCUAAGGUAGCGAAAUUCCUUGUC